rnacentral:rRNA from 1 species
UACGUAGGGGGCAAGCGUUGUCCGGAAUUAUUGGGCGUAAAGAGCGUGUAGGCGGAUCGAUCAGUCAGGGGUGAAAUCCCAGAGCUCAACUCUGGAACUGCCUUUGAUACUGUCGAUCUGGAGUAUGGAAGAGGUGAGUGGAAUUCCGAGUGUAGAGGUGAAAUUCGUAGAUAUUCGGAGGAACACCAGUGGCGAAGGCGGCUCACUGGUCCAUUACUGACGCUGAGGUGCGAAAGCGUGGGGAGCAAACAGG